AUGGGCGAUGCUGCUGAAAUUCGUCUGCAGAUCGCAGGUACAGGAGGCGUAGCUGACAAUGGCACGUCUCCAGCAACCGCCGCGCUGCCGACGAUGUCGGAACGCGUACGAUGGUGGGCGGUGGUGCUCGUCAACAUCGUGUUCCUCCUCGGCGGGCAGAGCGUCGCGAGCUUCCUCGGCAGGAUCUACUACGACCAGGGUGGCGGCAGCUUGUGGAUGGCCACGGUGGUUCAGUCCUGCGGCACGCCGCUCGCCAUCCCACUGCUCCUCUACUUCCGGCGCCGCCCUAGGUCCACUGCGGUGACGCGGCUGCCUCUCAUCAAGAUCUCGGCCAUCUACGCCGGCCUGGGGGUCCUCCUCGCCGCCGACAACCUGAUGUACUCGUACGCGCUCCUCUACCUGCCGCUGUCGACCUACUCGCUCAUCUGCGCGACGCAGCUCUCCUUCAACGCCGUCUUCUCCUACUUCCUCAACAAGGAGAAGUUCACGGCGCUCAUCCUCAACUCCGUCGUGCUGCUCACCUUCUCCGCGGCGCUCGUCGGCGUGAGCCACGGCUCGGAUGGGACCAACAGCAGCGUCCCGGAGGGGAAGUUCCCGCUGGGGUUCGCGCUGACGCUGUCGGCGUCGGCGCUCUUCUCCCUGAUACUGUCCCUGAUGCAGCUGACCUUCGACAAGGUGCUCAAGAGCGACACCUUAUACGACGUGAUGGAGAUGCAGUUCUGGAGCAACACCGCCGCGGCCGUCGUGUCGGUGGCCGGGCUGUUCAUCUCCGGCGAGUGGAGCACCCUGGACGGCGAGAUGGACGGGUACAAGAAGGGCAAGGUGGCCUACGGGAUGACGCUGGCGUGGACGGCCAUAUCGUGGCAGCUGGCCACCGUGGGCAUGAUGGGGCUCGUCGCGGCGGUCUCGUCGCUCUUCACCAACGUGAUCAGCACCGUGGGGUUGCCGCUGUCGCCCAUCGUCGCGGUGAUCUUCUUCGGCGACCGGAUGGACGGGGUGAAGGUGCUGGCGAUGCUCAUAGGGGUAUGGGGGUUCUUGUCCUACAUCUACCAGCACUACCUUGAUGAUGCCAAGGUUAAGAAGAUACUACUAGCUGAGCGAUUAGCCGACGACGACGAACACCACACUGUAAAACUCAAUACAGAGUGA
rnacentral:rRNA from 1 species